UUAAUCCUUAGGGUUAGGAUAAGUCCUAAAUCCUUAGGGUUAGGAUAACCCAAUAGCUAAGGGCUAACCUAAACCUAACCCUAACCCUAGGUUUAAUCCUUAGGGUUAGGAUAAAUCCUUAAAUCCUUAGGGUUAGGAUAAGUCCUUAAAUCCUCAGGGUAAGGUUAACCCUAAAGCUCAGGGUUAACCUAACCCUAACCCUAGGGUUAACCUAACCCUAACCCUAAUCCCAUUAAAAGAAACUUUUAUCACGUUAUUUGUCUUCAGUCAGCACCACAUCCUCUUCUCUCUUGACAAACUGUCUCCAACUGAGAAAAAAUACGAUCAGCAUCUAAAAAUCUCUCAGAAUCCAGCUCCAUCCACCGGAGUUUAUUCCCAUUUUCAUUUCACGCUCAACAUGUGUGUUUGCCUGACUUCUCGUAACCCUUGAGCCACAUUUACGACACGGCGGCUGGUUCAGAGUCAGUUUGUUUUGGUCGGUUGCCAACGGGAGAUUUUAUUUAUUUAUUUAUUUUUUUGAUAUAUCGGAGCGAUCCGAGCAGCGAAUCCGCCUUUUGCGCUGGUUUCCAGAGACGUUUAAUCCCUUACGGGAUGAGGAGAGACUUACGGAAACCAAACAAUCUCAUUUAUUUAUUCAUUAAUUUUAAAUUUUCAGAAUUUUCCCAGCCUCAGUUUGAAGAGUUUUAUGUUGGAGAAAUCUGCAAAGCAGCUGGUGAAAACUUAAGCAACCGACACCAGAGGGGCAGGUUUGAAGCUACACACAGGGAAUUUAAGGGUAAGUGGUGAGUAAUAUUAGAUUUACGAGCAAAUUAGAUUUGAACGGAUUAUAUAAUAGAGUCUGAACCGUGAGAGCGGAGCUGCGUUCACACUUGCGACAGGAAAGUGCUGCAGCUCGGUUUCAGUCGGAGCUAAUAAGCAGCACGAAGCCACAGAGAGAAGUUCAGCGCGAUUCGAGUUUGUUUUUAACGCUCCGACAAUGCGUCGACCAAUCAGAAUGUUCCUGCUGCUCGUAGUGUGAACGCAGCGUAACAGACCUGCGGGAUUUCAUAGUUUUCCCGUGUGCACGUCAGAGGUAGAGGUUUAAAACGGAGACAGAAUAUUCUUAAAGGUGGAAAAAACUGAGAACAACAUGAUGAGAUUAAUGCGAUUCAGUAACUCAGUGGAUGUGCAGAGAAAUUCCUCUUCUUCCUGAACAAAGUGCGAGAACGAAUGACGUUUGGCUGCUGGGCCUCAUCUCUCAUCUCACAAUGGACGAGCUGAACAUUUCUGAUAGACGAAGAGUUUAUAAGUUUGGGUUUCAUUUGCAAAACGUGGAAAAAUAAUAAAAAAAAAACAAAAAAGAA